rnacentral:rRNA from 1 species
UACGGAGGGGGGUAGCGUUGUUCGGAAUGACUGGGCGUAAAGCGCGCGUAGGCGGAUCAGGAAGUUGGGGGUGAAAUCCCGGGGCUCAACCCCGGAAUGGCCUUCAAAACUCCUGGUCUUGAGUUCGAGAGAGGUGAGUGGAAUUCCGAGUGUAGAGGUGAAAUUCGUAGAUAUUCGAAGGAACACCAGUGGCGAAGGCGGCUCACUGGCUCGACACUGACGCUGAGGUGCGAAAGCGUGGGGAGCAAACAGG